CGUUUCGACAACCUUAGUGGUAGUCAUCUUCUCUUUGAUUCAUUUGACUCUGAAAAGAGGACAGCUUCCUUGAGGUAGCAUCAGUUCAAAAGCAAAAGGAAAAUGCAAAUGCUAUUGAUAUAAGGAUGACAGCCUUGGAACGAAUGGGCGAAACAAACAAGAGAAAACCUGAUGGGCAAACUCAGAUGUUAAGCUUAAGAAGUACUCCGCGAUAGUUUUGAAUUAGUCGAAUAUUUGAGAGAAAGAUCAAGCAAGGAAAUUAAAAUCCGUCGUGCAGAACUAGAAGUAAAGCGAAAUGAGCAAGAAAUACAAAAUCAAUUGAGUACCCAAGCAGCUACACAACAAACAGAAGUCUUAAAAAUGAUGCAACAACAAAAUCUAAAAAUGAUGGAGAGGCAAGCUUUACUUCUUCAGCAACAACAGCAAAUGUCAACAGCAUUUCUUGACAUUAUUCAGAGGUUCACAACCAAAUGAACAAACAAGGAAUUAAACAUCAACUGCAAGUUGUAAUCUUAACUGUGCCAGUUGAUAGUAAUCUUCCUUUACAAGUUGUGCGAGCAAUUUUGCAAAGUAUGGAAGCGAUUGCUCCUCCACCAACUGGCGGAGAUAAUGAAGUAUCUAUUCAUUUCAAGGAAGGGACUGAAGCACAGAAUGAAUCAAUGGAUAUUGAUUGAUGUUGAAGUCAUGAUGGUGGUAGCGAAUAAAUCACACUAUUAAGCUAAUAUAGUUCAAGUUUAUUAUAAGUUCGCCAUUGUGUUACAUGUGCUCGACUCGACUGAAUAUAAAAUAGCAUGCAGUAAAAGUCCUAUAAGAAUGUUCACGUGUCUAUAAGGAAGUUAACUUAAGGAAAUAUCAAAUUACAAUGUUUAACCUAACACCCCCACUUAAACAUUAGUUUCUUUAGCUACAAAUAAAUGUAUUACAUUGGUAAACAAAGCAUAAUCUAAAAUUAUUUACAAGAUCAGUUACCAAAAACAGUAGACAUAAAAGUUUUUAAUUUUUGUGCAGAUAUUGGUUUAGUGAACAUAUCUGAUAUAUUAUCACUUGAAAUAACAUAUUUUACAUUAAUUAGACCCUUUUGUAUUUCUUGCCUAAUAAAAUGAUAGCGAAUAUCAA